rnacentral:lncRNA from 1 species
AGCUCAUCUGAACUUCCUGAGGGAUUCUGAAUUUAGCCCUUCAUUCAGUAGUGUCACUUCAUAUGAGUAUAGCGUGCAGCUCCAUCCACUUGUAGCAGCAUUCCUCCAGUGCUAUCAUGAGAUUCACUGGUGAUGUUCUGUAAAUGCCAGCCAAAAUCUAUCUGCAAGAACAUCUGCUCAACAGUGCAAAACUGAUGUAAUUACCAACCAUCA